CCCAAAAAAAAAAGCGGCUUCUUCUAACGCAGCAAAGCCAAAUCGAAGCCGGGUGCUUCAUUUCCCAAUAAGCAAAUAUACUCUUUCUUUAAAAAAAAAUCCCAAAUCAUCAGCCGCUUCCGAGGAUCUAGGUAAAAAUGGUGCAGGUUAACAGAGUUAAAACAAAUUUGGUGCUUGAACACAAGCAGAAAACCCAAGAAAGUUGUUCCACAAGGAUAUUUACGUAGCUUCAUCAUAACAAAAGUUACCUUUAUCUUUACAGCUAUCCUAGAAUCCACCAUUAUAUGGUAAGUUGAUGAAAUGAGUUUUAAAAUUAAUUUUUGCUUUAAAUGUCUUUCCAGGAUUGUGCAUCCAUUUCCCUGAAGAAGAGUAACCAUCCAAAACUACACAGAGCAUGGUUAAAAUGCCAAGUGUAUUUUCCUUGAAAAGUUACAUUUUUAAUCUAAUUAAUCAAAUCUGAUGGUAGUCUGAUAAUUUCAAAAACUGCACCAUGUAUUUCUUGACUUUAACAAUCGACUUCCUGUCCCAUCUCAGAGUCUCUGACCAACUUGAGUCAAUUUGGAUGCAGUAAUGAAAUUGAUCAUAUUGUGCAAACUGACCCAUUUCCUCACACAAAACAUGACAGAAUAUCACACCUGUGAAAUUUCUUUCCAUUCUUAUCUAGGCAAGGUAGGUCAAUGUCAAUCUGUCACUAGAUGCAGAAGAUUCAAUAUGUUCUCUUAAGUUGUUGAACUUCAGCUGGAAAAUUUCACUAAUGGGAUAGUCUAAUUAUUAUGCAAUCUUUCUAUAGUUGAAAGAUACCUACUGUAACCUACUGUAACUGCUAUAACAAUGCUCAACUAAAAUUGGUUUAAUGUGCCCCAUUCCUAGAAUUACAGGUUGAAUGCAUCCCUCAAAACCCAUGAAUAUUAACUUUGCAAUCAAAUUUCUCCUAUCUGUUAACGUGUGAAAUAACAGGUUUGUUUACAUUCAGAAUACGAUGAUUGUUUAACUUACAAACAUUUUUUAGAAAAAAUAUAAAAGCAUGAAUUACAAUACAAUUAAAUUAUGCCUGAAACUGCAUCUUUACCUUCUGCAAUGUUAUUUAAUGACAGUGCAGCACCUCCUGCAAAAAGUAGUGUUCUAAUUUCAGAUAAUGAGCCUUCCAGCUCAUCAGCUUUAUAUGUAAAGUGUAUGUAACUGCAAAUUGUGAAAUCCUAAGUUAUACAUAAUUGGGAGCCAAGAACAAACUUAUUGAGUGAGUUGCAUUGAUAUUCUGGCAUAUUAUAUAUGAUAAUGAUAUAUGAUAAUAAUGUAACAUAUUAUGAACACUGGCUGUGUGGAACAGUGCCACUCUUAACCAAGUUAAAAGAUCCUGAUUCCCAUUGUUGUGCAAUUUUUGGACACUGUAACAGAUCCUGUGACCAACAGCACAUUUUAAGGACAAAGUAUUUUCUCUGCAACUGUGAUCAUAAUAUCAUAAUACUUUGAUUUGAGUUGCACAUCUUAUGCUUUGCAGUUUUGAAAAUAUUUAAAGAUGUGUACAUCAGUAAUCAGCCUGCUCUUCAUGAGUGUUCUGCCUGAAUUCCAUUUAGGAGCAAAGCUAAGUGAAGUGUUAGCAUUUGACAUAUUUCAGUGAAAAUAAAAAUCAGUAAUUAAAAUUAUCAUUUAAGCACACAUAAUUUCUGCUGAGAUUUCUUAUGCAAAAGAUAUUUUGAACAUUACAACUGCUAUUCAGAAACUAAUAUAACAUUGCUCAUUUCUGUACAUUAACAAAAAGAAUUUAUCUUUAACGUUGUUUUUAAAGACAGGAGGAGUUUUAUUAUCGAAUCAGAGAUAGUAGGAACUGCAGAUGCUGGAGAAUCCGAGACAACAAGGUGCAGGGCUGGAUGAACACAGCAGGCCAAGCAGCAUCAUAGGAGCAGAGAGGCUGACGUUUCGGGCCUAGACCCUUCAUCAGAAAUUAUUAUGUUAAGUUUGAACCAGUUUCUGUCUCAGUGGAUCAGUGAAUACCUUUUCAAAUUCUUGGUGAAAACAUAAUGAGAAAUUAAACACAUCUGCAUAUAUA